CAAAAACAGAGAAGAACUUAGUCCUAAAGGAACGAUACCUUUAGAUGAAUUAGUACACAUAGUAGCCGAACUCUUCCCACCAUCUAAGCAUAAGAGUCAAGAAGCUGCUAACUAGGUUCCAUCCCUAAGUGCACCAAAGCAUAGCUGGAAGAGAUGUGCUAGGCAAUAGGCAAGAGUAAAUUCUGUGGUAGUAAUUUAAGAAGUG
rnacentral:misc_RNA from 1 species